GCAAGUCUAAACUUGAUAUAAAUGGUAAACUUGUCCCUCAAAUCUGAUUGGUUGAUUGAAAUGUUGUUCCAGGAUCAACAAAGAUGUUGAUCCAGGAACAUGUUGUACUUGGUGCAAAUCACAUUCACCAUGUUUACAUGUGCAACAAUAAUGUGUUUAUUUCCAAUAAGCAAGGACUUAAUCGCAUAAAUUUAAUUUGACAUGAGCAAAACUCACUCCCAUUCACAAGUUUUCAUUUUUCUGAUUAUUCUCUAAGAAUUGUGGUCAUUUUACCGCCAUUAGCUGUUUACAUACCCCAUGGCGUGCAGUGCAGUGCUGUUCUGAAAUGAGUAUGUAUUUGAUGUAUCUUUUAAUUAUAGAAAGUUCAUGAAGACAGAAAAAACAUCAGCUCAUUUUAUCCAAAGGCAAAGUGAGAAGGAGGGAAAAACAACGAGGAAGAUGAUAGAACCGAGAGAUGCUGACAGAGGGAAUGAGACUGCCGAGGUGACGAAGAACUGAAGAGGUGAUGGGGAGGAGGAGGAGGCGUCAAACAGAAGCGUCAAGAUUAGAACCGUGAGAAGGAGAAAAGUUUUGAACGAAAGGUCAUUUGUGGGGUUUCAAGCUCUGCAGUUACGUGUUGGCUGGAGGACGCAAGUCAAAAGGUCAGCCAAUUUACCUGUUGUCAUGGCAGCACAGGUUUUAACCGCGGCGCUGGACGAGAGGCAGACACUACAGGCAUGGAAGGUCGGAGGUCAUUGAUACAGACGCGGCUGCGACAGCGACGCUCGCGGCCAAGCACACGUCAAGAUUGUGGCUGCGCUCUGUAGUGAGUUUUUUC